rnacentral:rRNA from 1 species
UGUGAACUCGAAGAGUAGGGCGGGACACGUGGUAUCCUGUCUGAAUAUGGGGGGACCAUCCUCCAAGGCUAAAUACUCCUGACUGACCGAUAGUGAACCAGUACCGUGAGGGAAAGGCGAAAAGAACCCCGGCGAGGGGAGUGAAAAAGAACCUGAAACCGUGUACGUACAAGCAGUGGGAGCACCUUCGGGUGUGACUGCGUACCUUUUGUAUAAUGGGUCAGCGACUUAUAUUCUGUAGCAAGGUUAACCGUAUAGGGGAGCCGCAGGGAAACCGAGUCUUAACUGGGCGUUAAGUUGCAGGGUAUAGACCCGAAACCCGGUGAUCUAGCCAUGGGCAGGUUGAAGGUUGGGUAACACUAACUGGAGGACCGAACCGACUAAUGUUGAAAAAUUAGCGGAUGACUUGUGGCUGGGGGUGAAAGGCCAAUCAAACCGGGAGAUAGCUGGUUCUCCCCGAAAGCUAUUUAGGUAGCGCCUCGUGAACUCAUCUUCGGGGGUAGAGCACUGUUUCGGCUAGGGGGUCAUCCCGACUUACCAACCCGAUGCAAACUACGAAUACCGAAGAAUGUUAUCACGGGAGACACACGGCGGGUGCUAACGUCCGUCGUGAAGAGGGAAACAACCCAGACCGCCAGCUAAGGUCCCAAAGUCAUGGUUAAGUGGGAAACGAUGUGGGAAGGCACAGACAGCCAGGAUGUUGGCUUAGAAGCAGCCAUCAUUUAAAGAAAGCGUAAUAGCUCACUGGUCGAGUCGGCCUGCGCGGAAGAUGUAACGGGGCUAAACCAUGCACCGAAGCUGCGGCAGCGACACUAUGUGUUGUUGGGUAGGGGAGCGUUCUGUAAGCCUGCGAAGGUGUGCUGUGAGGCAUGCUGGAGGUAUCAGAAGUGCGAAUGCUGACAUAAGUAACGAUAAAGCGGGUGAAAAGCCCGCUCGCCGGAAGACCAAGGGUUCCUGUCCAACGUUAAUCGGGGCAGGGUGAGUCGACCCCUAAGGCGAGGCCGAAAGGCGUAGUCGAUGGGAAACAGGUUAAUAUUCCUGUACUUGGUGUUACUGCGAAGGGGGGACGGAGAAGGCUAUGUUAGCCGGGCGACGGUUGUCCCGGUUUAAGCAUGUAGGCUGGUUGUCCAGGCAAAUCCGGAUAAUCAAGGCUGAGGUGUGAUGACGAGGCACUACGGUGCUGAAGUAACAAAUGCCCUGCUUCCAGGAAAAGCCUCUAAGCAUCAGGUAACAUCAAAUCGUACCCCAAACCGACACAGGUGGUCAGGUAGAGAAUACCAAGGCGCUUGAGAGAACUCGGGUGAAGGAACUAGGCAAAAUGGUGCCGUAACUUCGGGAGAAGGCACGCUGGUGUGUAGGUGAAGUCCCUGCGGGUGGAGCUGAGACCAGUCGAAGAUACCAGCUGGCUGCAACUGUUUAUUAAAAACACAGCACUGUGCAAACACGAAAGUGGACGUAUACGGUGUGACGCCUGCCCGGUGCCGGAAGGUUAAUUGAUGGGGUUAUCCGUAAGGAGAAGCUCUUGAUCGAAGCCCCGGUAAACGGCGGCCGUAACUAUAACGGUCCUAAGGUAGCGAAAUUCCUUGUCGGGUAAGUUCCGACCUGCACGAAUGGCGUAAUGAUGGCCAGGCUGUCUCCACCCGAGACUCAGUGAAAUUGAACUCGCUGUGAAGAUGCAGUGUACCCGCGGCAAGACGGAAAGACCCCGUGAACCUUUACUAUAGCUUGACACUGAACAUUGAGCCUUGAUGUGUAGGAUAGGUGGGAGGCUUUGAAGCGUGGACGCCAGUCUGCGUGGAGCCAACCUUGAAAUACCACCCUUUAAUGUUUGAUGUUCUAACGUUGGCCCCU